AGGAUAAACGCUGGCGGCGUGCCUAACACAUGCAAGUCGAACGUCUCUUUCUUCGGGAAGAGGAGUGGCGGACGGGUGAGGAACACGUGGGAACCUGCCCUACAGUGAGGAAUACCGGCGAGAAAUCGCCGACAAGACCGCAUAGCCCUCUCUGGUGAGAGCCAGAGAAGGAAAGCUUCGCAAGAGGCGCUGGAGGAGGGGCCUGCGUCCGAUUAGCUAGUUGGUGGGGUAAGAGCCUACCAAGGCGUCGAUCGGUAGCUGGUCUGAGAGGACGAUCAGCCACACUGGGAUUGAGAACGGCCCAGACUCCUACGGGGGGCAGCAGUGAGGAAUUUUCGGCAAUGGGGGAAACCCUGACCGAGCAACGCCGCGUGCAGGAAGACGGCCUUCGGGUUGUAAACUGCUUUUCUUUGGGACGAGCAAGGACGGUACCAGAGGAAGUCAGCCCCGGCUCACUACGUGCCAGCAGCCGC
rnacentral:rRNA from 1 species